GAUGAACGCUAGCGGCAGGCUUAACACAUGCAAGUCGAGGGGUAUAGUAGCAAUACUAGAGACCGGCGCACGGGUGCGUAACGCGUAUGCAAUCUACCUUUUACAGCGGGAUAGCCCAGAGAAAUUUGGAUUAAUACCACAUAGUAUGUAUUAGUGGCAUCACUUCUACAUUAAAGUCACAACGGUAAAAGAUGAGCAUGCGUCCCAUUAGCUAGUUGGUAAGGUAACGGCUUACCAAGGCGACGAUGGGUAGGGGUCCUGAGAGGGAGAUCCCCCACACUGGUACUGAGACACGGACCAGACUCCUACGGGAGGCAGCAGUGAGGAAUAUUGGACAAUGGGCGCAAGCCUGAUCCAGCCAUGCCGCGUGCAGGAAGACGGUCCUAUGGAUUGUAAACUGCUUUUAUACAGGAAGAAACACCUCUACGUGUAGAGACUUGACGGUACUGUAAGAAUAAGGAUCGGCUAACUCCGUGCCAGCAGCCGCGGUAAUACGGAGGAUCCAAGCGUUAUCCGGAAUCAUUGGGUUUAAAGGGUCCGUAGGCGGUUUAGUAAGUCAGUGGUGAAAGCCCAUCGCUCAACGGUGGAACGGCCAUUGAUACUGCUAGACUUGAAUUGUUAGGAAGUAACUAGAAUAUGUAGUGUAGCGGUGAAAUGCUUAGAUAUUACAUGGAAUACCAAUUGCGAAGGCAGGUUACUACUAGUGGAUUGACGCUGAUGGACGAAAGCGUGGGGAGCGAACAGGAUUAGAUACCCUGGUAGUCCACGCCGUAAACGAUGGAUACUAGCUGUUGGGCGCAAGUUCAGUGGCUAAGCGAAAGUGAUAAGUAUCCCACCUGGGGAGUACGUUCGCAGAUGAAACUCAAGGAUUGACGG
rnacentral:rRNA from 1 species